rnacentral:rRNA from 1 species
AUUGAACGCUGGCGGCAGGCCUAACACAUGCAAGUCGAGCGGAUGAAGGGAGCUUGCUCCUGGAUUCAGCGGCGGACGGGUGAGUAAUGCCUAGGAAUCUGCCUGGUAGUGGGGGAUAACGUCCGGAAACGGGCGCUAAUACCGCAUACGUCCUGAGGGAGAAAGUGGGGGAUCUUCGGACCUCACGCUAUCAGAUGAGCCUAGGUCGGAUUAGCUAGUUGGUGGGGUAAAGGCCUACCAAGGCGACGCUCCGUAACUGGUCUGAGAGGAUGAUCAGUCACCCUGGAACUGGGACACGGUCCAGACUCCUACGGGAGGCCGCAGUGGGGAAUAUUGGACAAUGGGCGAAAGCCUGAUCCAGCCAUGCCGCGUGUGUGAAGAAGGUCUUCGGAUUGUAAAGCACUUUAAGUUGGGAGGAAGGGCAGUAAGUUAAUACCUUGCUGUUUUGACGUUACCAACAGAAUAAGCACCGGCUAACUUCGUG